rnacentral:rRNA from 1 species
GACGAACGCUGGCGGCGUGCUUAACACAUGCAAGUCGAACGGAAAGGCCCUGCUUUUGUGGGGUGCUCGAGUGGCGAACGGGUGAGUAACACGUGAGUAACCUGCCCUUGACUUUGGGAUAACUUCAGGAAACUGGGGCUAAUACCGGAUAGGAGCUCCUGCUGCAUGGUGGGGGUUGGAAAGUUUCGGCGGUUGGGGAUGGGCUCGCGGCUUAUCAGCUUGUUGGUGGGGUAGUGGCUUACCAAGGCUUUGACGGGUAGCCGGCCUGAGAGGGUGACCGGCCACGUUGGGACUGGAAUACGGCCCGGACUCCUACGGGAGGCAGCAGUGGGGAAUAUUGCACAAUGGGCGGAAGCCUGAUGCAGCAACGCCGCGUGCGGGAUGACGGCCUUCGGGUUGUAAACCGCUUUCGCCUGUGACGAAGCGUGAGUGACGGUAAUGGGUAAAGAAGCACCGGCUAACUACGUG